GACGAACGCUGGCGGCGUGCCUAAUACAUGCAAGUAGAACGCACAGUUUAUACCGUAGCUUGCUACACCAUAAACUGUGAGUUGCGAACGGGUGAGUAACGCGUAGGUAACCUGCCUGGUAGCGGGGGAUAACUAUUGGAAACGAUAGCUAAUACCGCAUAAUAUUGAUUAUUGCAUGAUAAUUGAUUGAAAGAUGCUAUUGCAUCACUACCAGAUGGACCUGCGUUGUAUUAGCUAGUAGGUGAGGUAACGGCUCACCUAGGCGACGAUACAUAGCCGACCUGAGAGGGUGAUCGGCCACACUGGGACUGAGACACGGCCCAGACUCCUACGGGAGGCAGCAGUAGGGAAUCUUCGGCAAUGGACGAAAGUCUGACCGAGCAACGCCGCGGGAGUGAAGAAGGGUUUCGGAUCGUAAAGCUCUGUUGUAAGAGAAGAACGGGUGUGAGAGUGGAAAGUUCACACUGUGACGGUAGCUUACCAGAAAGAGACGGCUAACUACGUG
rnacentral:rRNA from 1 species